GACCACCUUCCAUUAACUCUAAUGUUAAACCUAAUAGAGCCACUCCCAGUCUCCUCAAACUAUAGAACCAUGGUACAAAGCCACCCUGUAUACAAAACAAAGAAAUGGACAAGCCUCAGCUCCUCUCUUGCCCUGGACAUACAAAAAUCAUUUGAUAUGUCUGCAGUUCCCUCUGAUCCAAUCCUGCCCGCUGACCAAUACCGGAAAUUACUUGAUGCUUUCUCAACAACUUACAUAACCACCACUUCGCCUACUUACCAACGCCUCUUCUCUGAAUCGCCCUGGUUUGACAAGGAAUGUAAAGCCCUAAGAAGGCGAAUUAGGAAAAUGGUCAGAAUCAUCAAAUCUUCCAACGACCCCCAAACCCGUGCAAAGCUCAUAGAUAUUAAAAGGACAUAUAGAAACAUGAUUCAUUGCAAGAAACAGCAGUACAUCUUUGAGGCUUGGUCCACUCUUCGUUCGGCUGUAGAGAGGCAUGACUCCCGCUCCUUCUGGCGCCUAGUUAGACCUUCGGCACCAUUCAAUCCAGCUACCCAGAUUUCCGCGGAUGAAUGGAUUGCUUAUUAUUCAACUAGUUUCGCUUCUCCAAACCAUCUUACAGAUCUCCUUCAAUCCCCAUUGGACCUCAGUCCCUGCUCUCUUAGUCCCACUUCUUCAAUAAAUUUUACUUCAACUCGCAUUUUCAACAUCAUAAUGUCAAUGCAAAGGAAUAAGGCCCCCGGCCCAGACAUGGUCCCGUUGGACCUUUUCCUGACUGAUCCUCUUUGGUGGAGCGAACACCUGACUCCUGUAUUCACCGCUAUCUCCUCCGCCCUAGACAUCCCCGACUCCUGGAGAGAAGCUAUAAUAGUUCCGAUCUUCAAAGGCGGCCAGCCAAACAUCCCUAGGAACUAUCGCCCCAUCAGCUUAUUAUCCAUCCCGGUGAUAAUAUUUGCCGCUGUUUUACUGGAGGAACUUCUCUCAUGGGCCCAGGAGAGGAACAUUCUACCGCUAGAACAGAUUGGUUUCCGAAAGUCAGCGUCAACCAUGGACCAUUGUCUAACUCUCUUUCACCUUGCCAGUAAAUACACUGCUCCAAGGCAAGGCCACCUAUUUGCCGCUUUCAUGGACCUGGAGGCCGCCUUUGAUUCCAUUCCUAGGCAGAGAUUAUGGUCCAAACUUGCCCAUCUGGGAAUUGAUCCGCACCUUCUCUCCCUAAUUAUUUCCCUUUAUUCAAACACCACAGCUCGCGUCCGAACUAGUCCAAACGGCUCCCCCACUACUCCAUUUCCAACGGCCAAGGGCGUCCGACAAGGUUGCCUCUUGGCCCCUUUACUGUUUAAUCUCUAUCUUCAUGAUGCAAUUUCCACUUUGAAGCUAGCAUCUAAGUAUCCUCCUCACUUAGCAGGCCACCCCGUUGCUUCCCUUUUCUAUGCUGAUGAUGCCGUCAUCUUAUCCAGAACAGCUGCGGAUCUAGCAAAUGCAGUUAAUGCAUUUAUCGCCUAUUGUAAGGCGGAAGCUCUUAAUAUUAAUUAUAAAAAUCGAAAGUCCUCCACUUCACUCGUUCCCGCAAACUCAAGUUGGAGCCGCUUAAGAUCACAGGUGGCUACUUAGAAAAGGUAAAAGCCUUUAAAUAUCUAGGAUUAAUAUUCACCUAUAAUCUCUCCUGGACCACCCAUCUACAAUCUGCCUUUCUCGCUGCAACCACGACCUCUAACGCCAUUGUCCGAUUUUACCACCAGAAGGGCGGCAAACACCUUCCAGCAGCAAUUCAAAUAUUUAAUGCCAAAGUCGUCCCUAAAUUAUUAUAUGGAUGUGAAGUAUGGACUACAGCAAUAUCAGGUAACCUGGAUCGUCCACUUCAUAUGUUUCUGAGAUCUCUUUCCGGCGUCCCGAGAUGUGUCUCAGGUGCAGCCCUACGACUCGAGUUCGCCCAGCCUUCAAUUGCUAGACGAGCAUGGAGCCGAGCCAUUUCCUACACCCUCCACCUAUUAGCAUCGGAUGCUCGAAUUAGAGGUGGCUUUUCCAAUCUGAUCUUAAGAGAUAUUCAUAAUUCCCCUUGGAAAACUACAAUUAACCUCAAAUUCCGCUCUCUUCUCAAUUUGAAUUGUAAAACUGUUCUUAACUUAGAGUGUAUCAGCCCGGUGGCCCUACCCCUAAUUAAAAAGAAACUACAGCAACUUGACUUCUCCAACACAGCUUCUUGUGCAAGAGGACCGUGUUCAGGCCUAGCCCUAGCUAUUCCACCCCCCUGAAAGGAUCCCUCUAUACUGCUUCACAAUUUCUUCGGAGACUAAGCGAAGGGCUUUUACCUGUGCCCGUCUCAACUGUUUUCCUACAGCAGUUCUGUCGGGUCGUUAUUCCAGAGUUCCCAUCGCAAACAGAACAUGCUCCUGUAAUGACACGGCCCUGGAGACUAUGGAACAUGUAAUGCUCUUCUGUCCCAACUGGACAGAUGAAAGAUCUCGGUUUUUAACUCCCCUCGUGAAUAAGUUCCAUCUCCCAAUCCAGCCUUGGAUAGUGUCCCUCUUUUUGCAGGAUUCUGAUUGUUGGAUUACUGAGAUGACAGCUAACUUCCUGCUUAGUGUGAUGAAGAGGAAAGCGGCACUAACUUCUUCCUUAACACCACAGAUGCAGUCGAUACGCCGCACAACCGAACGAAGUUCCAAGUAGCCUUAUUGUACAAGGACAAUCGAGUUAGGACUAAUCUGAGGAGCUGAAGGACCCUUUAACGGUCCUCCUCCAGCCUCAGCAGCUUUUUUUUUUUUUUUUUUUUCACUUUCUUUAAGUAUUCGCCCAGGACGAUGUCUACCUCUACCUCCCCACCCCCAUUUUAUGUUGUUAUUUCAAUGUAUAUCAUGCUAUGGCCACUCGGCUAAUGCAAUAAAUAAAU